rnacentral:tRNA from 1 species
AUUGGUGUGGCAGAGUUCGGUAAUUGCUAAAGAUCUAAGUCCUUUCCACGGAGGUUCAAGUCCUCCCUCCAAUA